rnacentral:rRNA from 1 species
GUUCACCUACGGGGGGCAGCAGUGGGGAAUAUUGCACAAUGGGGGAAACCCUGAUGCAGCGACGCCGCAUGGGUGACGAAGUAUUUCGGUAUGUAAAGCCCUAUCAGCAGGGAAGAAGAUGACAGUACCUGACUAAGAAGCCCCGGCUAACUACGUGCCAGCAGCCGCGGUAAUACGUAGGGGGCAAGCGUUAUCCGGAUUUACUGGGUGUAAAGGGAGCGUAGACGGCAUGGCAAGUCAGAUGUGAAAGCCCGGGGCUCAACCCCGGGACUGCAUUUGAAACUGUCAGGCUGGAGUGCAGUAGG